rnacentral:rRNA from 1 species
AUGCCCGUCCGUUGGAAUUCAACAUACACAAUGCUUGAGAAUGCUUUGUAUUUCAAGGAUGCAUUACUGUGGUUUGGUAAUAGGGAUGGCAUAUUCAAGUCAAACUUCUCUCUUACUCAUGAUGAAUGGGAAAAGGUUCGUAUCAUGCAUGAUUUCUUGAAAACAUUUUAUAAAGUGACGUGCACAUUGUCUGGGACAAAGUAUCCUACCUCCAAUUUGUAUUUCCAGUGUGUGUUCUUGGUUCAAUCAUGUGUCUUGAAGGCAUUUAGUGAAGGGCAUGAGUUCAUGGCACCAAUGUUAGUUCCAAUGAAAGAGAAGUUUGAUAAAUAUUGGGCUGAUUAUAAUGUCUUCUUGUCUUGUGUUGCUGUCCUUGAUCCCCGUUGCAAGCUUGGUUUUGUUAGCUACUGUUAUGGAAAACUUUAUGCCCCUGACGAGGCACAACGUCGGAUGCAUGAAGUUAAGAAAACUUUGGAGAGUUUGUUUGCUGAAUAUAGUGGUGCUGCUGUUAGUCAAACACCAUCACAUGGUGCUACAAACAGUAGGGGAAGUAGGGGAGAUGGUUCUGAUAUGUUCGAUGACUACGAGAGUUACAUUCAAUCUCAACGGACAAAUGUAGAGAGGUCUCAAUUGGAUCUUUAUUUGGAAGAAACUCCUAGAAAAUUGAAUGACGAGUUGAAUGUCUUGGAAUUUUGGAGCAAAUCAUCUAUGCGAUACCCUGAGCUUGCAUCAAUGGCUCGGGAUAUUCUUGCUGUCCCCAUUUCUAGUGUUGCUUCGGAACAAGCCUUUAGCAUGAGUCGCAAAGUUAUAACACCUAACCGAGCUUCACUUAAGCCUAAGACCAUCGAGGCUUUAAUGUGUCUCCAAGAUUGGUAUCGUUGGAAGAUGUCUCAGAGUGAAGAAAUGAGCACUACAGGAGGUGGACCUUCAAGUUCUCAUGCAAAUGAGUUAUCUUCAGAUUCGGUUUGUAUUCAUUCAUGCACUCCUUUAGUAUCUUGUCUUGUUUGUUGA